UACGUAGGGUGCGAGCGUUGUCCGGAAUUAUUGGGCGUAAAGAGCUCGUAGGCGGUGUGUCACGUCGGCCGUGAAAACCUGCAGCUUAACUGUGGGCGUGCGGUCGAUACGGGCAUCACUGGAGUUCGGCAGGGGAGACUGGAAUUCCUGGUGCAGCGGUGAAAUGCGCAGAUAUCAGGAGGAACACCGGUGGCGAAGGCGCCGCUCUGGGCCGAAACUGACGCUGAGGAGCGAAAGCGUGGGGAGCGAACAGG
rnacentral:rRNA from 1 species